GUGAGGUGAAACACAAAACCCAGAACCUUGACAGCCCUUCCAUUCCUUGAUCUGAGGAAUAGGAGAAGAUCCGUCUAGCUGCAGGAUUCACGACUUGAGAAUGAGCAGAUUAAUCAUCAGCCCCUUCCGUUCAGAGUAGCCUUAGAGACGGGCACGUUUCUAGAAAGACCUGUUCCAAGCAUUCCGCAUAAAUGACUCGAGUGAGCUCCCCUAAUAGGAACUUGCGAAAUACAGCCUCGUAGCCGCCUGCUACACACAUGCAGUAACAGUACCAGUUUAGAGCGGAUUUGCUGCAAAUUGCUGAACAGUUUAAUCACAGUUUGUGAUACAGGACGGCGUGCAAAUGAUCUUCCUGGGAAAUCUCAUCCAGUUCAUCAGUGCAACUUAUUUUGUCAUUGGAAACCACAUGAUAUCGGAACCCGGGACAUUGCUCAGGUGCUGUGGACAGGGAAACAACAUGAUCCCGGAACCCCGGACAUUGUACAAGUGCUGUGGACAGGAGACCUAUAAUGAGGACCGGCAGUUGUGCUGUGGACGUCUGGGCAGUGAGAAGAUCCUUAUGAAGGAACACAAGGACAGCAUUUGCUGUGGAGACGUCCAGUACAACCCACAGACACAGCGCUGCUGCGGAGAUCCUCCUGAAAUAAAUGACCUCUCAAUUUCCUGUGAGACGGACUGUAAACAGGUUUUGACCCAAGAGCCUACAGCAAACAACAGGAUGUCGGGACCCCGGACAUUGUCCAAGUGCUGUGGACAGGAGGCCUAUAAUGUGGACCGGCAGUUGUGCUGUGGAAGUCUGCGCAAUGUGACGAUCCUUAUAAAGGAACAGAAGGGCAGCAUUUGCUGUGGAGACGUCCAGUACAACCCAGAGAAACAGGGCUGCUGUGGAGAUCCUCCUAAAAUAAAGGAACCCUCAGUUCCCUAUGAAACAGACUCAGAACAGGGUUUGACCCAAGAGCCCACAGUAAACAACAUGAUCCCGACACCCGGGACAUUGUCGAAGUGCUGUGGACUGGAGGCCUAUAAUGUGUACCGGCAGUUGUGCUGUGGAAGUCUGAGCAGUCAGAAGAUCCUUAUGAAGGAACACAAGGACAGCGUCUGCUGUGGAGACGUCCAGUACAACCCACAGAAACAGUGCUGUUGCGGGGAUCCUCCUAAAAUAAAUGAACUCUCAGUUUCCUAUGAGACCCAAGGGCCCACAGCAAACCACAUGGUGUCGGAACCCGGAACAUUGUCUAAGUACUGUGGACAGGAGGCCUAUAAUGAGGACCGGCAGUUGUGCUGUGGAAGUCUGCACAAUGCGAAGAUCCUUAUGAAGGAACAGAAGGAAAGCCUUUGCUGUGGAGACGUCCAGUACAACCCAGAGACACAGGGCUGCUGUGGAGAUCCUCCUGAAAUAAAAGACCUCUUAGAUUAACUGUGAGACGGACUGAAAACAGGGUUCGACCCGUCUCCUUCAACCCACUGCUCUUUUGAACAUAGCACCUUUUCAAUCAAGGAAAAAAAUAUUUGCUUUGACUAGCACUAUCUAACUGUUUGUAAUUGUGUCAAACUUGAAGAUCCUUUAUUUCCUUGAAAAAGAUUGCUUAUUUUGUCUUAUCUAAGUUGUUAAUUUUCUCUGCAAACGGGAAAUAUUUUUGAAUGUAGAACAGUGCAAAUGUAGAAGCGAAUAUGCCCAAAUAUACCUGCCCCUUUACAUUUGUCCAUGUUAUGAUUAUUACUUUUAUCCUGCAAGUUUAGCUCAGGAACAAUACUAUACAAUGGUGUAUUCCCUUUUUGCUAGUUAAAGCACAAUGAAAUGGUUAAUUCUAGGGAUGGGCGUGAGGAAUCGAUUACACGAGUAC
ensembl:lncRNA